rfam:Nosema ceranae BRL01 Nc000124, whole genome shotgun sequence.
GCUCUGGUAGCUCAGCAGGUUAGAGCGUCGUGCUAAUAACGCGAAGGUCCUGGGUUCGAAUCCCAGUCGGAGCA